rnacentral:rRNA from 1 species
UACGUAGAAGACUAGUGUUAUUCAUCUUUAAUAGGUUUAAAGGGUACCUAGACGGUAUAAUUAGUCUAAAAUAAGAUACGGUUAUACUAGAGUUAUAUAUGAGGAGGUGAGUAUUUAUGGAGUAGAGUUGAAAUUUGUUGAUCCCAUAACGACUGGUAUCGGCGAAAGCAACCUUUUAUCUAAUAACUGACGUUGAGGGACGAAGGUUCGGGUAACGAACAGG